GGCUAAGCUAAGUUUUAGGACUUAGUGUUCUAAUUAAAGAUUUAAAUAUGACUUUCCAAAUUAUUGCCUGGAAUGGAUUCAUUUCUGUGAGCCUAAUCCCUUUGCAAGUGUCUAAAGCUUGCUCUCACAUUCACACAAAAAACUUACAGAAAUACAAAUACAGUCAUUAUAGAGAAGCUUACUGAUUAUGUAAACAGUCAUGUCCACCAAAAUUGUUUAAUAUAAUUUUCAGAGGGUGAGAGCCUGAAUAUAUCCUUUCUAGAAAGCUGCUUAACAAGGUUGUCAAACAUUGAGGUAACUGACAAAAUCAUCAACCACGUAAAAUUUCAUUAGUCUUUACAAUUACAAAAUCAAAUUUCUCCCUUUAAAUAAAUGCUUUGGGGUUUUAUAACAUGCAAAGUGAAGACUCCCAGCUUCAAAGUGUGCCUGUGUGUAUUCUCAAGUGUAGCCUGUGUCCCACAAUAGUGGACAUAGUUACCAAUAAUUAUUUCUUUCUGUAACCUGAGUCAGUUGACAGCCAUAUAAAAUGGGCUGAUCAUAACUGUGUCUAGAGGGAAGGGGAUACAUUUCUAAAAGAACACUGAACAAUAUUUCUCUGGGAUUUUAAAGUCUGGGUAACUCUCUAUGAAGUAGUGUCUUGGGGGAGAUUUCUUCUUAGUUAACAUGACAAUUAAGUCAAAUUACAAUAAACAAAUAUUCAAAGUCUAGAUGCUUCAUUUAUUUAAGUCAAUUUUAAAAAAUAUAAGAAGAAGAGAAGCAACUGGGAGGAGGGCAGUCUCUUGAAAUCUUUUGAAAUGAAGCUAACUUGUAUUUAGAAUUGUGUGGGGAAGAGAGAAGGAGGUUUAGUAUUCAUUUCCUGGGGCUUAUAAGCUGUGGAAUAGUGACAGUAUGUUUAUUCUAAAACAUCAAAGAUCCCUGUCUCACAACAUCUCAGACAACAAAGAUGGGAAAACAAAUGAACCAAGGACACAUCCUAAUAUAUUCUGCGAUGUUUACUCCCCCUACAGGCAAAUCAAUCUUUUGAAAACUGUCUUUAAUAAUAUCCUUGUAAUUUUUACACUGUUUCUUUCUUCCAGCAGCCCUAGCCAUUAUUUAUAAGUCUUCUAACUUCUGUCUCGUACUACUCUCUAUCCCAUGUAGCUCUCUCUCUUUAGCAUUUAUUUUUAUAUUUGUCAACUCCUUUCUCCUCUCUCCCAACUGUAAACGCCAAAUCCAGCAUUGGAAGGAAUGCUCUACAUCAAAUCACAUUUCUGAUAAAUGAACAGUGAAAAUUUAACAAUACGACUUUUAUGACAAUGUGAUGGCAAGUGCCCUGAACUUGGGUGUCCAGAAACCUGAACUCGAGUUUGGGUUUGGCUACUAAUUAGUUUGUAACCUUGGGUUCGUUGUCCUUGUCUAUAAAAUAACAUGGUUGAAGGAAAAUGAACUAGAAAAUACCCUUGACCAACUCAACUUCUAUAUCUUUUCACAUUAUAUUUAAUAUCUCAAGUGCUGCAAAUCUAAGUUCUUUUUUUUUUCUUUUUUUUUUUGAGAAGGAGUUUCACUCUUGUUGCCCAGGCUGGAGUACAUUGGCACAAUCUCAGCUCACUGCAACCUCUGCCUCCCAGGUUCAAGCGAUUCUCCUGCCUCAGCCUCCUGAGUAGCUGGGAUUACAGGUGCAGGCCACUACACCUGGCUAAUUUCUUUUUUUGGUUUUGGUUUUUUGUUUGUUUGUUUGUUUGUUUGUUUUUUGGCAUUUUUAGUAGAGAUGAGGUUUCACCAUGUUGGCCAGGCUGGUCUCAAACUCCUGACCUCACAUGAUCCACCCACCUCAGCCUCCCAAGGUGCUGGGAUUACAGGCAUGAGCCACCGUGCCUGGCCUUGCAAAUGUUAAGUUCUAAAAAAUUAAAUGAAUAAGAGUUGAAAAGGAAAUCAACAUUGUUAAAGCAAAAUAUACCAGAAACAGUGUUGAGUUGAUGUCCCUGGAUCAUCUUAUGUGUAUAAUCUUUACAACAACUGUGCAAGAUGAUUGGUUUUACCUCCAUUUGUAUACAUAGAAUUUCACAGGGGGGUAAAUAAUUUCCCAAGAUUGCAUGGUUCAAAAUGGCAAAUCUGUCAUUUGAAUGACUUGGGUUUUCGAUCAAAGAGUUUCGAGUCUAUAGUUACAAUUUACUCACUAAUUGGACUUCCACAAAUUGCCCUGGGUGAGUUUGUCUGUAAGUAUAUGUGUUUAUACACAUGUAAUACUUAGUUUGGAAAGUAGGAUCAAGUGUUUUUAGAUAGUGAGGAAAUUAACGCAGAAGACAAGUAACUUGGUUAAGUAUUAAUUUUCUGGUAGUAGAAUCAAGAAUGAAAGGAUUUUUAAUUUUUAUGGGUUCAUAGCAGGUGUAUAUGUUUAUGGGGUAUGAAAUACUUGGACACCGGCAUGCAAUGCAUACUCACAUCAUGGAAAAUGAGAUACUCAUCCACUCAAGCGUUUAUCCUCUGUGUUGCAAACAAUCCAAUGAUUCUCUCUCAGUUAUUUUAAAAUGUACAAUUAAACUAUUUUGACUAUAAAAUACUAGGUAUUAUUCAUUCUUUCACACUAUUUUUUGUACCCGUUGUGCUAUAAAAUACUAGGUAUUAUUCAUUCUCUCAAACUACUUUGUGUAACCAUUAACCAUUACCACCUCCUCCUGACCCCACACUACCAGGAAGGACAGGAUUUUUCAUAAGGCGAUUUUGGAGUUUCAGAAGUCAGAGUUCACAGUAGGUAUUGGAGAAGCUACACAGCCAUAAACAGUCUUCUAAGGAAAAUGGCAAAAUGCAUACUCUGAAUUAAGCUUUAAAAAAAUCAGAUAGGGCCAGGCACAGUGGCUCGUGCCUGUAAUCCUAGCGCUUUGGGAGGCCGAGGCAGGCAGAUCACUUGAAGUAAGGAGUUCAAAACUACCCUGGCCAACAUGGUGAAACCCCAUCUGUACUAAAAAUAUUUUUUAAAAAAUUAGCCAGGUGUGGUGGCAGGUGCCUGUAAUCCCAGCUACUUGGGAGGCUGAGGCAGGAGAAUUGCUUGAACCUGGGAGGCAGAGGUGGUAGUGAGCCAAGAUCGCACCACCGCACUCCAGCCUGGGCAACAAGAGUGAGACUCCGUCUCAAAAAAAAAGAAAAGAAAGGAAAGAAA
rnacentral:lncRNA from 1 species